GUGCAGCAGGCGCGAAAACUUUACAAUGCCGGCAGCGGCGAUAAGGGGACCUCGAGUGCCAGGUUACAAAUCUGGCUGUCGUGAUGCCUAAAAAGCAUUGCAUAGCAAGGGCCGGGCAAGACCGGUGCCAGCCGCCGCGGUAACACCGGCGGCUCGAGUGGUAACCGUUAUUAUUGGGUCUAAAGGGUCUGUAGCCGGCCAGAUAAGUCUCUUGAGAAAUCCAGCAGCUCAACUGUUGGGCUUUCAGGAGAUACUGUCUGGCUCGAGGCCGGGAGAGGUGAGAGGUACUUCAGGGGUAGGGGUGAAAUCUUGUAAUCCUUGAAGGACCACCAGUGGCGAAGGCGUCUCACCAGAACGGACCUGACGGCAAGGGACGAAAGCUAGGGGCACGAACCGGAUUAGAUACCCGGGUAGUCC
rnacentral:rRNA from 1 species